rnacentral:rRNA from 1 species
AUCUAUGGCCAUGCCACCUUGAACAAGCCCGAUCUCGUCUGAUCUUGGAAGCUAAGCAGGGUCGGGCCUGGUCAGUAUUUGGAUGGGAGACCACUAGGAAAACCAGGUGCUGUAGAUG